rnacentral:lncRNA from 1 species
GAAAGUGAAGCUGUUGCAUCCUUGAGACUGGUCCUAACUGCUCUGGUCUCCUAAAACUCAUGUCAAUAGCUGCAGCCCCGCUGCAAUGCCCAGCCCAGAAAACCAGGUGAGACUACACUCCUCCCAUCAGAAAACAGUACCUUGACCUCUGACUCCAGGGAAUCUCCCAUGGGGCCUGGAGGUGGUCCUGCAUUGGCCAUG